rnacentral:rRNA from 1 species
GACGAACGCUGGCGGCGUGCUUAACACAUGCAAGUCGAACGGAAAGGCCCUUUCGGGGGUACACGAGUGGCGGACGGGUGAGUAACACGAGGGUGAUCUUCCCUGCCCUUUGGGAUAAGCCUGGGAAACUGGGUCUAAUACUGGUAAGGACUACUCUAUUCAUGUCGUUUGGUGGAAAGUUUUUGCGGUGUGAGAUGGUCCCUCGGCCUAUCAGCUUGUUGGUUGGGUGAUGGCCUACCAAGGCGACGACGGGUAGCCGGCCUGAGAGGGUGUCCGGCCACAAUGGGACUGAGAUACGGACCAGACUCCUACGGGAGGCAGCAGUGGGGAAUAUUGCGCAAUGGGCGCAAGCCUGAUGCAGCGACGCCGCGUGGGGGAUGACGGCCUUCGGGUUGUAAACCCCUUUCAGCACAGACGAAGCGUAAGUGACGGUAUGUGCAGAAGAAGCACCGGCCAACUACGUG